rnacentral:lncRNA from 1 species
GCCUCAGUGUCACCCGAGUUCCAGGAUGGCAGAAGCCAAGGACUCUGCCAUACCAUCUUUUUUGGCUUCCAGUUUCUCUGCUGCCAAGAAACGUGAAUUGGAGAUUGUAAAAUGAAGAUGUGCUGAUGUGCCACUCCCAACAAUGACAGUGGACCUGCCGUCUUGCUCCCAGCUCCCCGUCUAUACUUCCAUCUUCUCUGUUGGAAGGUACAGGAACCAUCGAUUUGCUCAGCUAUUUGUUAAAAAUGAAAGAAUGACUUUAUUCCGGGAGCUGGGAAGGGAAAGCUGUGCUGUACUCGCUUCUGGUAGAAAUGCUAGAUGAGGAAGCAAGAAAUGGAG